rnacentral:rRNA from 1 species
CGUCUAUAUACGUAUAGCAUAUCAAUAAGCGGAGGAAAAGAAACUAACUAGGAUUCCCUCAGUAACGGCGAGUGAAGCGGGAAGAGCUCAAAUUUGAAAUCUUCAAGGUUCUACCUUGACGAAUUGUAGUUUAAAGAAGUGUUUUCUGUUGGAGUUUUGGUAAAAGUUCUUUGGAAAUAGGACAUCAUAGAGGGUGAGAAUCCCGUAUUUGACCAUUACUUUCCAACUUUGUGAUACACUUUCAAAGAGUCGGAUUGUUUGGGAAUGCAGUCCAAAAUGGGUGGUAAAUUUCAUCUAAAGCUAAAUACUGGCGAGAGACCGAUAGCGAACAAGUACCGUGAGGGAAAGAUGAAAAGAACUUUGAAAAGAGAGUUAAACAGUACGUGAAAUUGUCAAAAGGGAAGCGUUUGACACCAGUGUUGUUUUCUCGAAAAUCAAUUAAAAAUGCUGGAUUUUGUGUUGUAUUGACUUUAUCAGCUUUCUGCACUUUUUUCCUGUCUUUUUUAAUGCACUUUUCGUUUAACAAGUCAACAUCAAUUUCUUUUGUUGUAAAAGGGUCAUCGGAAGGUGGCUUUCUUUUCGGAGAAAGUGUUUAUAGCCUUUGGCCUCUACAAUCGGAGAGAUUGAGGUCUGCAGCGUAGAUCCUUCGGGGUUAGAUACAUUUGUGCUAAGUUAUAGCCUUUCAUAGACAACUUGUUGACUAUGAUCAGUCAUGUAGCUUACUCGCUUAUGUCAUUUUACCUACGCUUAGGAUGUUGACGAUCAGCUGAGCGCG